AAAGAAUUAGUUAAAACAUAACAUAAAUAUGUCAAAUUUAAAUUAUUAUUAUUAUUAUAAUAUUCUUUU
rnacentral:tRNA from 1 species